GACGAACGCUGGCGGCGUGCCUAAUACAUGCAAGUAGAACGCUGAAGGAGGAGCUUGCUUCUCUGGAUGAGUUGCGAACGGGUGAGUAACGCGUAGGUAACCUGCCUGGUAGCGGGGGAUAACUAUUGGAAACGAUAGCUAAUACCGCAUAAUAGCAGUUAUUGCAUGAUAACUGUUUGAAAGGUGCAAUUGCACCACUACCAGAUGGACCUGCGUUGUAUUAGCUAGUUGGUGGGGUAACGGCUCACCAAGGCGACGAUACAUAGCCGACCUGAGAGGGUGAUCGGCCACACUGGGACUGAGACACGGCCCAGACUCCGACGGGAGGCAGCAGUAGGGAAUCUUCGGCAAUGGACGGAAGUCUGACCGAGCAACGCCGCGUGAGUGAAGAAGGGUUUCGGAUCGUAAAGCUCUGUUGUAAGAGAAGAACGAGGGUGAGAGUGGAAAGUUCACACUGUGACGGUAUCUUACCAGAAAGGGACGGCUAACUACGUG
rnacentral:rRNA from 1 species